UUCUAUGGGCACAAGCACUGUUCAUGACACAAACUGUUCAAACCCCUCGUUGGUGUAGACAAUUUAGCAGGUUUAAAGCAUAUAUUUCCUGCAAUUCUACACAUUUUGUCACGGGGUGCAGAGAAUAUUUGGGUGUUUUAAAAGGUCAUUUUCUUGCAAUUCUAUUCAUUUUGCCAUAUCUAAUGUGUAUUCAUGUCAUCUUUGAGUGUCUCAAACAUUACCACAAAAUCUAUGGGCUACAAAACCUAGCUAAAAUGUUGCUGACAUGGGCUAGUUGAACUGGACAUUUCUGUCAAAUUACAAAUUGUUAUGCAAGAGAGAAACUGAAGACGCCCUCCCCAAUUUCGAAAUUGAACCUUCAGAAUUCUGAUCGGAUUUAUGUAACUCAAAAUGUAAAAGUGAGGUGUCACUUUGCUUUGGGAGUUUUGAUGCCAAUAACCAUGGAAUCUGGGAUCCUUGGGACGUCACUACUAUCAACUCCAAAGCUUUCAUUUUUGUUUCUGAGGGACUUUCCAUGGUAAGUACUAUCCAGCAUCCUGGGGAUGUCACGACCCUCAGCCCCAAUCUUAUCUAACCUUAAAGCUGCAAUAAGUCACUUUUUUUGUGUGACCGGACCAAAUUCACAUAUAAGUUUGAGUUAAGCGGUAGAUAUGUUAUACAGUAUGUUCACUCUUUCUAUGCUUCCCUUGUUUAAGUAAAUGUUUUGCGUCUUUAACGUUCAGUUUUGAAAAUACAAUGUUUUCGCUUAUGGAGAAGAUAUUUCACAGCGGUUUAGAUGGUACAAUGGUCUCUGCACCAGGUGUUCCCAGACUUUUUAACUCUGACCCCCUUUCCAGCAUUGUGGAACAUCCCGCGCCCCGUCUAUUUCUAUGGGCUAUGUGUUUACAUUUGUAUUUUUGUCGAGAGCAAAACGUUUUUCUUUUCAAUCAAAAAUAAUUGUUUUGAAAGCAGAAACGGGGCUUCAACGUUUAAAAAAAAUGUACAAAUAUGCAAUCAAAUAUUUUCUAAUAGAGCGCAAAACGUCAUUCCCCAAAAAUAUUUGAGGAACAAAAAAUGUAUUUGAAAAUCUAACUCCAAUUUAAUGUCGCAAUCAACCACCCUCCAUUUUGGCUAUACUGUUCUCUUUACUUGCAGUUCCUCUUUAUUGUUGCUUUUUUUGUUGUUGAUUGAAACACCAGUUCCUCAUUUGCACUUUUGACCCCACCGCUGUGGGCGGGCUUUAGUAGGAGGUGUGGAGGAUGCUUCUCCAUUGGUCAGGUCAGUAUCAAUAAGGACUGUGUGGUGAUGGCGUCUCAGGUCAGCCGCACUUGGCGGUCUUCCGUUCAACCUCUACAUAGCUGGUAGGUCAGGGAUGCAAACUAGUCACCUUGCUGCGAAAUUCGCGGUUUUGGUAUUCGACUCAUUGCCGUUCCUCAAGUUAUAACGCGUUAACGUUAUUUGCUUACUGGACCCUGGCAAUCUGUGUGAAACAUUAACUGGCUAACGAAAUAACCACUAUAUGUUAACUAAUGUUUUCCCUCUAUAGUAUGUGGUUAAUUUUCAGAAUGAGAGAAUUAGGUGAAAAUGAGGCUUUGCUUGUGUUGCUGGAGCUUGAGCUGGGCCUGGUUUAAACUGGAUGCCACUAUAGAGAGUGGCUGGUGAAAUAUUUGCAGUGAGCCUUGCACAAGGUGGACCGUCUCCAUGAUUUAUGCAGGAGUGGUGUUACCACUAUCUGUUGACCGGGACCCUGAAGGACCUAACAAAGGAUCAAAGAUGCCUUUGACCUGGCACCCUACACUGAAGGAAUCCUCAACUGUGGCUACACAGGCCCCAUCAACUUGGAUCACAAGGAGAGCAUAAUAAGAGACAUUUUGCUCCAUGCAACCACAAAACGUACAGCGAUGCUUCAGCAGCUGCAUGAAGGCCUUGAAGUCUACAUCCUAAUUGAGGUCCUGCAGAAGAAACCGAAGGAAUGUCUCAAUCUCUUUGUGAUGACAUGGUUGAUGCACACUACAUAAUCUCAAACCUGGCCCCAGAGAUGAGUGAAAGUGGUUAUCCAAAACAAAAGGAGAUGGAAAUCUUGGAUUUCUUUAAAGAUUUCCUCCAAGAACUUGAUGAUGGGAAAGUGAGCCUGCCUGUGGCUGAAGACAGUGGAGAGGAAGACGACAGUGGAGAACCACUUUCUGUUCCCAGUGUAAUGCAGUGGCUGACAGGGCAGCCACACACACCUGACCACUCAUGUCUACAACGCAUGCCUAACUACACUUUGUUACCCUGUUGUUAGUACAUACACCAAAACGAUAACAUUUCCCACAGCCCAUCUGAGAGAUUACGAUGCAUUUAAAUCAAACAUUGAAACAGCAAUCAAAUACAGUGCAAGGUUUGAUAGAGUUUAACUGAAAGACUAUUCAAUUUAACUGACUGAUAAACCACAUACAGUACAUUAUGUUCCUGUGUAAAGAAGCAGUCAAAUCUUUCUUGCUUUAUUUUUAGGUUAAUGCUUAAAUGUACGCCCUUGACAACUGUGAUUUAGAAAAUGUUUUUUAUUAACCUCUUACUACUCAGAACAUUCAUAGAAGGAUGGUAGACUGCAGCGAUAGCUCAGAGGUCUAAACGCUGGAUGGCUGGAUGAAUGGACUAUUGGAAAUAGUCAGAGGGACUGAUGUAGUAUUUGGGCUUUUGUAAAGUUUUUGCAUUAUGUUUUAUACACUGGUCUUAGACUAUACCUUCGAACACCAAAACCUUAGGAGGCUCCAUUGCUAGUAGUGUUACACUGUAUCAACAAAAUGUGUUUUUGCAUCAUCGUAGUCCAUAGGAAUUAUGUAAAUGAAAUGACAUACAAUUGACUAAUUUUCUGGUCCUUGCCAACAUACAGUGUUCCAGAUGUACUGUAACUACUUUAGGGUAUCAUCGGUUCUCUCCCCUUUAAUAUGUGAUUCUGUCUGUUUUUAUUCUUUCUUUUUUUUUUAACAAGAGCCUUGAAGCUGUUCUAUAUACAGUAGACCGAUGGGGGCCAAAGACUCCAUUUUAGUAUAUUGUACACCAAGUGGUAUAGAAUACAAGUAUAUACACUUUAUCCAAACGCAUUGUAAUAGACCAAUUUAUCUCCGGGCAUAAAGCUAGCAUUAUUCACAAGCAAAGGUGCUUGGUCUGACUUUGGUAUUAAUUUGUAGUACUGUAUCCUGUGACCAAACGAGUCACUCUGCUUAUUCAGUCGUCUCCGUCACCUCUGGAGCUCAGAAAUGAUGAAUAUAACAGUGAGAGACAGUGCCACUCUGUUAGACAGGAAUUUGGUGCUGAAGUACAAUAAUACUUCACAAGUGCUUUUGAUUACCCAAGGUUCAUUUGUAUGCAGCGAGGGAUGGAAGGUUUUAUUAAAAUGUAAAUUAAAGGGAUUUUCCAGUUGCUCAUUUUUAUAUUUUGACAUGACAAAGUUCUGUAUAUGUGGAUCUACUGUAUUGGUGUUUACAUAAUGUACAUAGCCACCGUUCGCUGAGCUCCGUGUCACUGUAGCAUUGUUACAUCACUGUAGCAUUGUUACGUCACUGUGGCAUUGUUACGUCACUGUGGCAUUGUUACGUCACUGUGGCAUUGUUACGUCACUUUGGCAUUGUUACGUCACUGUGGCAUUGUUACGUCACUGUGGCAUUGUUACGUCACUGUGGCAUUGUUACGUCACUGUGGCAUUGUUACGUCAGUGUGGCAUUGUUACGUCACUGUGGCAUUGUUACGUCACUUUGGCAUUGUUACGUCAGUGUGGCAUUGUUACGUCACUGUGGCAUUGUUACGUCACUGUGGCAUUGUUACGUCACUGUGGCAUUGUUACGUCACUGCCUGCUUUUGAUUUUCAUGUUAAGACACUGGAUGUCAUGUACACUAACUGUAAAGGUGACAGCUCCAUGAAUGAUAUGGGGAGGGAAAGUCACCUCAGGAGCCACGUGACACCUAUGGAUUCUUGGACUCAUCUGUUUUAUAGAUCACUGCAUUAUUAGAACAUUCUAUAGAUUCACCUCUGAACUUGGAAACGGUUUGCUGUAUGUCCAAUGGUAGUGCCGUGAACAUGUUACAAUUAUUCACAUGUGAUUGUUUUGACACUGUUAUACUACUACAUAAUGUUGAUUGUUACAUAGUAUUUAUCAGUUGUAUAUGUUCAAAUGGUGGGUUUGCUUUUAGAGAGAAGUGUCAAUUAACAAAGCUGCUUUGUGGAAAAUAAAUACCAUUGGUUUACAAUAAGUUUAAUUGUUAGAAAAAUGAAAAUAACUUUUCAUAAUAGCUCUUUUCAACGAAUGAAACAGUUUGUUUACAUCA